rnacentral:rRNA from 1 species
AGCGAACGCUGGCGGCAGGCCUAACACAUGCAAGUCGAACGAAGUCUUCGGACUUAGUGGCGGACGGGUGAGUAACACGUGGGAACGUGCCUUUAGGUUCGGAAUCACUCAGGGAAACUUGUGCUAAUACCGAAUGUGCCCUUCGGGGGAAAGAUUUAUCGCCUUUAGAGCGGCCCGCGUCUGAUUAGCUAGUUGGUGAGGUAAAGGUUCACCAAGGCUACGAUCAGUAGCUGGUCUGAGAGGAUGACCAGCCACAUUGGGACUGAGACACGGCCCAAACUCCUGCGGGAGGCAGCAGUGGUGAAUCUUGCGCAAUGGGCGAAAGCCUGACGCAGCCAUGCCGCGUGGAUGAUGAAGGUCUUAGGAUUGUAAAAUCCUUUCACCGGUGAAGAUAAUGACUGUAGCCGGAGAAGAAGCCCCGGCUAACUUCGUGCCAGCCGCCGCCGUAAUAC